rnacentral:rRNA from 1 species
GUAUAGCAAUAGCUACUUGCAUCAUAGUAGAUAUGAUGCAAGAUCGACUAUGUUGAAUAAAAUUCUAGGUAGAAUUAUGAUAAUGACAUUGUCUGCCUAUGUGUCUUGACCAAAUUACGUGCCAGCAGUCGCGGUAAUACGUAGAAGACUAGUGUUAUUCAUGUUUAAUCGGUUUAAAGGGUACCUAGACGGUAGAUCAAGCUUUCUAAUAAAGGAAAAGGACUAAUUUACUAGAGUUACUUAUGAGGGGGUAUUAAAGUACUGCUGGUGUAGAGAUGAAAUUCUGUCAUACCUCUUUUCAAAAGAAAAACCAUGGCACAGGUAUAGGCGAAGGCAUCCCCUUAUGUGAUAACUGACGUUGAGGGACGAAGGCUUUGUGUAGCGAACAGGAUUAGAUACCCCAGUAGUCGAAGCAGAAAAUGAUGAAUGUCAUAGAUUAGAUAUAUAAGUUUAUUCUAUAAAUGAAAGUGUAAGCAUUCCACCUCAUGAGUAAUUUGGCAACAUUGGAACUGAAAUCAUUAGACCGUUUCUGAAACCAGUAGUGAAGUAUGUUGUUUAAUUUGAUGAUCCGCAAAAAACCUUACCACAAUUUGAAUAUUUAUAUUAUUUAUUGUUUUAUUAUUAAUUUUCUUAUAKUAWKAWUAUURUUUUAUUAUUAAUUUUCUUAUAGUAAGAAUAUUAAUAAAGAGGCAAUAAGAUAUAUUUACAAGCGUUGCACGGCUGUCUUCAGUUAAUGUCGCGAGACUUUGGUUAGUUCCAUUAAAUUAACGUAAACCCUUACUUUAUUUUUAUAUAGAGUAGUUCCCCGCUAUAUUGGAUAUGAUAACAGG